UUGUUACAUAGUGAUGUUGGAGAAAUGACUGAAUUUAAAUGAAAGCGGUAAUAGAUGUGGGCAGAACGUCAGGAGAGAAUGCUUCUGGAACAUGGCUGUACAGCCUGGAAAACACAUAACAACCCCAGUUUUUUAAAAAUAUGGUAAAUAUAGACUAUGAUUGCUUGGAGUGUCACAAUAAUAUCCAUCAGAACACUUAAAGGGAUCACUUUAAGGUUCGGUUCCCGAAUAGGAAUGGGAAAAGGAUCCCUGUCUCUUUAAAUGGGCGCAAAAGGGGAUUUCUUUGCCUGUUCCCUGGUUGUACAAGGAACUGAAAUCCCUCCUAUUGACGCCUCUUUUAAAAAGGUACGGGAGCCCCACUUCAGUUUAUACUUUAGCAAGGCCAGCGAGGCCCACACAAGGCUGGGAUGAUGCACCCUGCCUUCGAUUGUGAUGCGCACAUGGUUCUAUGACAGUUGAAGCUGUCAUAGUUGAGGCUGACAGUUCAGGCUGACAGUUGAGGAGCCCCAGCCCUGGGGCAAAAGGUGCUGAGAGGGGCUUCCCAUGGCCAGAAAGAGAAGCGGGAGAAGGAUGUCCCAUCACCAGGUAAGGGAAGCAGAGGAUGGAGAUCCAACCAGGUAAGAGACGGAGGGGAGGGAGGAGAGCCAGCAGUCAGGUAAGGGAUGAAGAGGAAGGAGAGUCCAUGUUCAGGUAAGGGAUGAAGAGGAAAGACACCCAAUGAUCAGGUAAGAGAAGAGGAAGGCCACCAAAUGAUCAGGUAAGGGAUGAAGAGGAAAAAUACCUAAUCAUCAGGUAAGAGAAGAGGAAGGUCACAAAAUGAUCAGGUAAGGGAUGAAGAGGAAAGACACCUAAUGAUCAGGUAAGAGAAGAGGAAGGCCACAAAAUGAUCAGGUAAGGGAUGAAGAGGAAAGACACCCAAUGAUCAGGUAAGAGAAGAGGAAGGCCACCAAAUGAUCAGGUAAGGAUGAAGAGGAAAAUUCCCAAUAAUCAGGUAAGGGAUGAAGAGGAAGGUCACACAAUUAUCAGGUAAGAGAAGAGGAAGGCCACAAAAUUAUCAGGUAAGGAUGAAGAGGAAACAUACCUAAUAAUCAAGAAAGUGAUGAAGAGGAAGAAUACUCAACAAUUGGGAAAGAGAAGAGGAAGGCUACCAAAUCAUCAGGUAAGGAUUGAAGAGGAAACAUACAUUCUAAUCAGGUACGUGAUGAAGAGGAAGAAUACACAAUGAUCAGGUAAGUGAUGAAGAGGAAGAAUACACAAUGAUCAGGUAAGUGAUGAAGAGGAAGAAUACACAAUGAUCAGGUAAGUGUUGAAGAGGAAGUAUAUCCAAUGAUCAGGUAAGAGAAGAGGAAGGCAAACAUAAAUAUCAGGUAAGGGAUGAAGAGGAAAAAUGCCUAAUAAUCAGGUAAGUGAUGAAGGGGAAGGUCACCCUAUUAUCAGGUAAGAGAAGAGGAAGUAUAUUCAAUAACCAGGUAAGAGAAGAGGAAAGAUAUCACAUCAGGUAAGGAAUGAAGAGGAAAAUGCCAAAUUAUCAGGAAAGUGACGAAGAGGAAAGACACCCAAUCAUCAGGUAAGUGAAGAGGCGUUUUUAAAAUCUAUUCUCUGGAAGCAUCCAAUGAAAUGGGUCUGCAUGAAGAGAAAUCAAUAAGGAAGGAAGAAAUAAAAUCGAAGGAAGGAAGGAAGGAAGGAAGGAAGGAAGGAAGGAAGGAAGGAAGGAAGGAAGGAAGACAGAAAGAAAGAAAGAAAGAAAGAAAGUUGAUUUGAUUGGGAGGAAAACCAAGGUAGGCAGGAGAAAAGCAGGUGUGCCCUAGAGAAGUGAGGAAUACAUGUAUGUAUCUCACAGUCAAACGCCUGUGUGCAGCAAGAGACAGUUGGGAAGAACCAGGUCUUGAUGUGGACUGAAGACGGGCCCCGAAGGAGGAGGAGCGCCCUGGGAGAAAAGGCGACACUUGCCAGGCACAGGUGACUCUGGAAACGCACGGCUGUUGGAAGAAGCCAAAAGGAAUGGUUUUCCUUUGCACCCAAAGGAGAGCCGUGUUUUCUCUUGGAAAACUAAGAAUCCUAUUGAGAAGAGACCACAAAGACCUUCCUGCCUGAGUCCGAAUGCCAGGAAGCCAUGACUAACGCAGCCUUGAGAAGCGGGUGACCCAUUUCCAUGCAGAGAUCUCCAACGGAGAAGAGUCCCUCUUCCAAGGAGUCUUUGGCCACCUUGCCAUGUGGAAGGAGACAUCCCGGCAAGUGGGUGUCAGAAGGAGAGGCUCAGGCGGGUAAGUCCCGAGGGCCCUUUCCACCAUGCCCAGGGUCGCACUGGCCGCCACUUUUGGGGCCGGGAAGGAAUUUUCCUCCGGGACCGAUUAGCCGAGGAUCUGGGAGGUUUUUCGCCUUCCUCUGGGCAUCCGGCAGCGGCCGCCGGGUAGGAAGGUUCACUAGAUACAACUCACUAGGCUCAGCUCAGGAAAAGGUGAUGUCUUUGUGAGGGAAAAUUAAGAAAGCACGUGGAUAUGGAAGCUUUGAAAUGGAAAAUCUGUGUCCAGAGAAAGUAGGAAGGCAAGGUCUUUAGGGGAACAAAGAAGAAGGAAACUGUCACCAUUUGGAAAUGGAAGAUGGCACACUGCUGGAUACAAUUGAAUGCAAACAACCAAACAGCAAGAAAGUGUUGGAUGACUAGAGAAAGAUAGAUGCCCAGUCCUGAAGAGCAUCACCCUCCACUUGACAGAAAAGGAAAGGAGAGGAGAGGAGAGGAGAGGAGAGGAGAGGAGAGGAGAGGAGAGAAAGGGAAGGAAAGGUCUUUUCGGCCAUGCCCUGGGUAGCACUGACCGCCACUUUUGGGGUCGGGAAGGAAUUUUCCUCCAGGGCGGAUUGGGCCCUGGUCCUGGAGGUUUUUCGCCUUCCUCAGGGCAUCCGGCAAAGGCCUCACCAUGUCAGGCUCAGACGCACUCUCAGGCCACAGCAGGCCCAUCUUGACCUAACCAACAAAUGCAAGCCAAUUGAAAUAAAUGCCAUGAAUCUGGAAA